AGCUCCAAGAGCGUAUAUUAAAGUUGUUGCGGUUAAAACGUUCGUAGUUGAGCUCUAAUCCAAGGCUGCGGAUGCCCAUCCACUGGGUGGAGUUUCUUUCCAGCCUGGACUGCCAGUGCGAAGACCCCAUUCUGCGGUGCAAGCUGUGGAUGGUGGUCAUCGGACAUUCACUUUGAGGAAAGUAGGGCGCUUCGAGCCAGCACCAGCCAGCAUAUGACAGCAUGGAAUGACAAAAUCAGCUGUGUGAGUUCUUCGUCGGUUUCACAUUCAACACUUGGUAAAGAGGAGCAGGUGGGGGCAUUCGUAUUUAUUUAUUAGAGGUGAAAUUCUUGAAUUUGGUAGCCACGGUCUACUGCGAAAGCAUUUGCCAGGCAUGUUUUCAUUGAUCAAGAACGAAAGU
rnacentral:rRNA from 1 species